rnacentral:hammerhead_ribozyme from 1 species
AUCCAGUUGACAAGUCCUAAAUAGGAUGAAAUGUGCAUCCUGGAU